rnacentral:rRNA from 1 species
UACGGAGGGUGCGAACGUUAAUCGGAAUCACUGGGCGUAAAGCGCGCGUAGGCGGUUGUUAAGUGGGAUGUGAAAUCCCCGGGCUUAACCUGGGAAUUGCAUUUCAAACUGGCCGACUAGAGUACGGUAGAGGGAGGUAGAAUUUCCUGUGUAGCGGUGAAAUGCGUAGAUAUAGGAAGGAAUACCAGUGGCGAAGGCGGCCUCCUGGAUCGAUACUGACGCUGAGGCGCGAAAGCGU